rnacentral:rRNA from 1 species
AUGACGAAGCCACCAGCGGCCGAUCGUCCGCGGAUGACGCUGGAGGACUACGUCCUCUUCUUCACCACCCGCAGCGGUCGACAUCUUACCAUCGACCAACUCAAUCAGAUCCUCUUCAUGCACGGCUUCAAGAAGUUCUACAACUCCAACAAGCCGGUGAUCGUCGACGCGCUCAACUCGCUCGACCUGCUGCGCCCGCGCCGCGCCACAGUCAGCAUCAACGCCGUGGCGCCCCCGCCGGGUGCCGCGGGGCCCUCCGCGGCCUUGCUCUCCACGGAGGCCGUGAAGCGCGACAUCCAGGACCUCGGCUGGCGCGAGUGCCCCGUCGGCUCCGUCCUCUCCGUCCACGCCGGGGCGGCCGCCUCCUCCCCCGUGCCCCUCGCCACCAUCCGCCCGGGCUCCGCGGCCGUCGUCCAGCGCGUCUCCCCUCCGAGCACAUUCAGCGCCUCCUCCAGCCUGCCUCCCGCGGCGCCUGGCGUGGAGGGGACCAGGAAGCGGGCCCUGAGGGGCCAGGGGAAGGCGGCGACCAAGAGGAAGGAGAGGCGCAUGAGGGAGCUGCUCAGGCUCCCGUCCAUCGAGGUCCAGGACAUUCCCGCCGCCGACGCCGCCGCCCAGGGCAGCAGCGGCGGCAUUGCCUCUGCUGUGUGA